rnacentral:rRNA from 1 species
UACGAAGGGGGCUAGCGUUGUUCGGAAUUACUGGGCGUAAAGGGCGCGUAGGCUGUGCUGUAAGUCAGGCGUGAAGGCCCCGGGCUCAACCUGGGAAUUGCGCUUGAUACUGCGGCGCUGGAAGGUGGGAGAGGAUGGCGGAAUUCCCAGUGUAGAGGUGAAAUUCGUAGAUAUUGGGAAGAACACCGGUGGCGAAGGCGGCCAUCUGGCCCAUUUUUGACGCUGAGGCGCGAAAGCGUGGGGAGCAAA